rnacentral:rRNA from 1 species
GUAACACGUGGUAACCUACCUAUAAGACUGGGAUAACUUCGGGAAACCGGAGCUAAUACCGGAUAAUAUUUCGAACCGCAUGGUUCGAUAGUGAAAGGUGGUUUUGCUAUCACUUAUAGAUGGACCCGCGCCGUAUUAGCUAGUUGGUAAGGUAACGGCUUACCAAGGCGACGAUACGUAGCCGACCUGAGAGGGUGAUCGGCCACACUGGAACUGAGACACGGUCCAGACUCCUACGGGAGGCAGCAGCG